UGUGCCGUCGAUGUCCCGGAGGAUGAAGCCGCCGCCGGUGCUGUCAAAGUCGGUCUGAUGGUAUGAGCCUGUGACUUCCACCCAUCUGGAGCCGCUUGGGAUUCUCAAUCUGGUGUGGUUCAUCAUCAAGGCCAACCUCACCCUCUGCUGCUGUUCACCAUCAAAGGAUGCCCUCAUUAUACAUUAUACUGAUGAAAAUGCAAUCCAGAAGGAAAUGAAGAACGCCCACAUUGCAUUCAUCUGAAUCCUGAUAAGUCGUGCACCACUUUCUAGAAGGCAUUAUGAGCAAAACCAGUUCAGGAGUUGCACAUGUUAGACUUAUUAGUGAAGCGAAGCAAACUGCUCAUCUGGUGAUGGUGAAUAUGCAAGCAUCCUUCCAAAGAAGGCUUUGGGGAAGCUUGCUUCUUCGAUAAUCUCAGACUCGUGGGGAAGGGAAAUCAUUUCUGAGAAAUCAAUAACCAAGAGUAUUUUCCUUAUGCAGAUAUGUGUUAUGAUGUUGGAAACUCUAAACAGAAAGAAGCAGGCACAAGAUCUUCACUCAUUGGAGAGCCUGGUGCUUGGAAAAUAUCUUUCCACUCCUUCCAUUUACUCGAAAUAAGAUUAUGGCACAUGACUCUGCUACUGAACACUUGAAGCUUACCAUCACUCUCUUGCAUGGAGAACAUGGUCCACAGGCAUGAGAACAAUCUGGCAAGCUCGACCCCGUCGUAUGUAUCUCCUUCACAGCGUCCUGAUCUCUGUCACUCUGCAUAUAAACAAGAUGGACCAUUGAAGCUUCAAGGGAUGGCAAAAGAUUAACAGAGAUUAGUUCAUAAACCAAAUUGGCUAUGAGAUAAGGUAUGUAUAAUGCUAACUAUAAAUACAGAAUUUACCAGGAUUCAGUCGUAGACUUUC